rnacentral:rRNA from 1 species
UGGGGAAUCUUCCGCAAUGGACGAAAGUCUGACGGAGCAACGCCGCGUGAGUGAAGAAGGUUUUCGGAUCGUAAAACUCUGUCUUUUGGGGCGAACGUGAGUAUGGUGAACAAUCAUAGUCAGUGACGGUACCAAAGGAGGAAGCCACGGCUAACUACGUGCCAGCAGCCGCGGUAAUACGUAGGUGGCAAGCGUUGUCCGGAAUUAUUGGGCGUAAAGAGCGCGUAGGCGGGAUAGUCAGUCUGUUGUAAAGUGCGGGGCUCAACCCCGUGAUCGCAAUGGAAACAGCUAUUCUUGAGUGCAGGAGAGGAAAGUGGAAUUCCCAGUGUAGCGGUGAAAUGCGUAGAUAUUGGGAGGAACACCAGUGGCGAAGGCGACUUUCUGGACUGUGUCUGACGCUGAGGCGCGAAAGCCAGGGGAGCGAACGGGAUUAGAUACCCCGGUAGUCCUGGCCGUAAACGAUGGGUACUAGGUGUGGGAGGUAUCGACCCCUUCCGUGCCGGAGUUAACGCAAUAAGUACCCCGCCUGGGGGAGUACGGUCGCAAGACUGAAAC